rnacentral:rRNA from 1 species
UACGAAGGGGCUAGCGUUGCUCGGAAUCACUGGGCGUAAAGCGCACGUAGGCGGAUUGCUAAGUCAGGGGUGAAAUCCUGGAGCUCAACUCCAGAACUGCCUUUGAUACUGGCGACCUUGAGUCCGGGAGAGGUGAGUGGAACUGCGAGUGUAGAGGUGAAAUUCGUAGAUAUUCGCAAGAACACCAGUGGCGAAGGCGGCUCACUGGCCCGAUACUGACGCUGAGGCACGAAAGCGUGGGGAGCAAACAGG